CUCACCUUGUUCUCCUUGUCCGCCUCACACUCUCUCAUCGGCCUGUUCUUUGGGUCCCGCCCCCAGAUCACCACUGGACCAACCACAGUGGUUUUGGCAGAGAAGGAAGCUGUCAGUCCAGCCUCCUCUUCCUCCUCUUCUCCGGUCUUCAUCCAAGUGACGCCGGUCUUCUGCUCCAGCCUGAGGACCACCGAGACGCAGUGGUGCGUUACCAUGGCAACAGAUGGACUCAGAAUGUGGAGACAAUCCUGAGAGAACUGGAGGAUGAAGCAGAAGAAGGAAGUUCCUGCUACAACCAGCAGAGGGCAGACAAAAGCUACCUGGCCGCAAACAGACAAACGCUGUCCUCGGACCCUGACAAACAAAUGAAGGUCAAACGGCAAAAAGAAGAAUAGGAUUCUUGUCUCACAGGUUCCGCCUUUGCGCCGGGGACAGUCGCCAAUCCAUGCGCAAGACCAGGACACAGCAGAACAGGAGAUCCAAUCAGCUCCACGUAGCCUUGAGCCUCUUGCUGAUUUUGCUUUGAAACAUUCUGGGGGAUGUAGUGCCAGUGAGGCAGGAAGACAAGACAAUCCAACCACAGAGGUGACGGCGACAAAACCUAGAGAGACACAUUUUGGAACAUUUUAGACUUAAAUUCUCAUUUAACUCUCAGGGGUGUAGCAUGAUGAUCCAUCCACUUUUCAAGUACAGCUUUAUGAUCAAUAAUGAUCACUAUGAACACAACAUUUGUUGUGUAUAUAGUUAGGAAACUGUAACUUGAGGCCUACGCCUGGCUUUGAAGGUAAAACGCCAUUAUAACAUAAUAAUAACAAUUUCACUACAUUUAACUUUAACUCUAAAAACUACCUUGGACUCAAAAGGUUUACAGUAAGCCAUCUGUGUCUACUAACUCACCUCACACCUGACGCUCCCACUGGCGUCCAUCAGCCUCAAGUCGCCGUUGUCACGAUGCGUCAGACGGCCAAUCAGCAACAGGUUGGCCCUUGGAAGAGUCUGCUGACCCGGCAGAGAUAGCUCCACCUCCUUGGCCAACAUCUGCUGCUGAUUGGUGCUCCACGACAGGUUACUGACACAGGCCAGGCGCUGGUGGGAGAGAAGCUCGGAGACACACACCAACCUGGCAAUUUAGGUCAGAGUUCAGCAAAGUGUCAUGACUUCAGUGCACAAGAUGAGGAGUCAUACCUGUAGCUGACAGGUAACGUGCGUGUGGAGGACAUGAUCUUUUCUAUUCUCUUUAGCAGACACACACUCAGUUCAGAUGCACACUGAUGGGCUGCAAGUCACAAGAAAUGAGCAUCACGUGACACAGCAGUUU